AUUGAACGCUGGCGGCAUGCCUUACACAUGCAAGUCGAACGGCAGCACGGGGCAACCUGGUGGCGAGUGGCGAACGGGUGAGUAAUGCAUCGGAACGUGCCAUUGAGUGGGGGAUAACGUAGCGAAAGUUGCGCUAAUACCGCAUAUUCUGUGAGCAGGAAAGCAGGGGACCGCAAGGCCUUGCGCUCUUUGAGCGGCCGAUGUCAGAUUAGCUAGUUGGUGAGGUAACGGCUUACCAAGGCGACGAUCUGUAGCGGGUCUGAGAGGAUGAUCCGCCACACUGGAACUGAGACACGGUCCAGACUCCUACGGGAGGCAGCAGUGGGGAAUUUGGACAAUGGGCGCAAGCCUGAUCCAGCCAUGCCGCGUGAGUGAAGAAGGCCUGGUGU
rnacentral:rRNA from 1 species